AUCUGUGUUUGUAUGUGCUAGUGUGUGUAUCUGUGUGUCAAUGUGUAUCUCUGUGUGUGUGUGUAUGUAUCUGACACACACACACACACACUGGCACACAGAUACACGCAUUGUGUAUCUGUUGUGUGUAU